rnacentral:rRNA from 1 species
UCCGUAGGGGGCAAGCGUUGUCCGGAAUUAUUGGGCGUAAAGAGCGCGUAGGCGGUCCGAUAAGUCGGCUGUGAAAGUCCAGGGCUCAACCCUGGAAAGCCGGCCGAUACUGUCGGACUAGAGUCCGGAAGAGGCGAGUGGAAUUCCCGGUGUAGCGGUGAAAUGCGCAGAUAUCAGGAAGAACACCCGUGGCGAAGGCGGCUCUCUGGAACGCAACUGACGCUGAGACGCGAAAGCGUGGGGAGCAAACAGG